UUAUUCUAAAUCUUUUUGAGGCAUGAGUUGAGCAAUGUGAACUAUUUUGACCUCUUUACUUUUUAGUGAUAUUGAGAUGCAAUCUCCGAGCAUGUGCCCUUUUGACGUCUCCAAGCUUUCCUUGGAAGCUGUAUUGUUCGUUAUGUUUAUGAUAAAAAACCUAUGGUUUUCAGGUCUCAAGGAUAGCCUAUUAUGGUUUUCAGGUCUCAAGGAUAGCCUAGUAAUAGGCGCUGGUGUUUGGUCAUAUGUCUUUGAGUUGGCAAUUAAUUUUAGUUUAGAUAGUGAUGCAGGUUUUUUCAAACCAUUCACUGAUCACAUAUGGUGUUCGCAUUUGAGAUUUCUUAGGGAUAUAUUUAGCUGAUAUUUUCCAGGAUGGAAUAGCACUUCUAUUAGAAUUUUAUUUUUUCCUUCAA